GAUGAAGAACGUAGCGAAAUGCGAUAAGUAAUGUGAAUUGCAGAAUUCAGUGAAUCAUCGAAUCUUUGAACGCACCUUGCGCCCCUUGGUUAUUCUAAAGGGCAUGCCUGUUUGAGUAUCAUGAACACCUCAACUCUUGUGGUUUCCCACAAUGAGCUUGGACUGUGGAGGUUUUGUUGGCCCUGUGGUCAGCUCCUCUCAAAUGGAUCAGCUUACCGGUGUUUGGUGGCAUUACGGGUGUGAUAACUAUCUACGCUCGUGGUCGUCUCCAAAUAACCUCCAGUGAUGGAGGUUCGCUGGAGCUUAUAAAUGUCUCUCCCCAGUGAAGACAGCCUUUGAACGUUCGAUCUCAAAUCAGGUAGGACUACCCGCUGAACUUAAGCAUAUCAAUAAGCGGAGGA
rnacentral:misc_RNA from 1 species